CUGAUUGCUUCUCUAAGAGUGAAGAGACAACAGUGCUGGGCAACACAGCCAUGAAUAAAUGGCUGCAGGGAGCCAGAAGCUGAAGUGAUUUUUAGGGGCAAAGAUACCUCCUCAGCAUUGAAUGUGAUUGCUGUGCUGAAAUGAUCCUUGGGAAAUGAUGCGGUUUAAAAAAUGGAUACUCCUCCAGCUUGUCUCUCUGAUACUGUGACCUGGAGACAAGUCAUUUCUCUAAUGAGGCUGUGCAAACAUCAUGUGUUCCUAUGUGGAAAGAAGUGGAGAUGGCCAGGAGCAACAGGGCACAAAGAAGAUAGGUUUGAGCAAGGCCUCAUCGCCCACCAGCCUUUGGAAAUGAGCCUCAACCACUGCUUUGAACUGCAGGACAGAGAACACGGAGGGA